GCACCGUGGCAGCAGGGCCUCAGCUUUGCUGGACAAAAACUGAGUGGAAGCUGAGUAGCAGGAUGAGGAGCCCACCAGGUGCCCAGUGGGACUUGCCAGGUGCCCAGUGGGACUUGGCAUACAACCACAGGGAGGCUCCCAACCCUCAUACCCUCUCGUGUGUCCCUGAUACAGGCUUCACAUGGGAAGGGGCUUCCAAACGGACCUUCAGGAGAACCAGAUCUCAGCUGGACGCGGCUCCAAGUUCCCACCCGUUAUUUCCUAGAGAGGGCAGCCAUGUACAGAACCCAGGCCCACCGUGCCUGUCCUGGGGGCUCUCCCAGCUCACUGUUGGGCAGGAGGAGGGCGCCAUUCCUCUGCACCCCCCAGAGGUUGCAGAUGCUGUGGCCCACACUGCUCCAGCUGAGCAUGGUCAUUGAGACCUGUCACCGAGUGACAGAAUGCUCACAUCCACCCCAGGGCAGCCACUGUUUCUUCCACAUUUGCAGAUGAGGAAACUGAGGCAGAAAGGACUUUAGUGAUUGGCCAGAGGUCACACAGCAAAAAGGGAUGGACAGACUGGACAGCAGGUAUGGCUGCCCUCCUGGCUGCUUUCAUACUGUCAGGACCAGCAUCACACAUACCAAUUGUCCUCCCCUCGUAAUCUCUCCUCUGCUUGAGGAUGGGCCGAGGGUAGCCAGAAUUUUCCCAGAGCCUUGCCUGAAACGAGUGUCCAUUGAGACUCACUAAAGGUCUCCAUGAGAAGAUAGAUGGGUGGAUGGAUGGAUGGAUGGGUAUGUGCAUGGAUGGAUAGAUGGUGGAUGGAUGAGUGGAUUGGAUGAGUGUUGAGUAGAUGAUGGAUAGAUGAAUGCACAAAUGAGUGAAUAUAUUUGGAUGGAUGAUGGCUGGCUGGCUGGCUGGAUGGUAGAUGGAUGGAUGGUGGAUGAAAGAUGGGUGAAUAGAUCGAUGUUGGAUAGAUGAUGGAUAGAUAAAUGGAUGAGUGAGUGAAUGGAUGUUGGAUGGGUGGGUGGUGAACAGAUUGAUAGUAGAUAGAGGAAUGGAUGGAUGGCAGGCGGAUGGGUAAAUGGAUGGAUGUUGAAUGGGUGAUAUAUGGAUGAGUGGAUGUUGAAUGGAUGGAUGGAUGGAUGGGUAGAUGAUGGAUGGUCGAUGGAGAAUGGAUGGGUGGAUGGAUGGAUGGAUUAAUGAUGAAUAGAUGAGUGGGUGAAUGCAUUUUGGAUGGAUUGUGGGUGAAUAAUGAGUGGUGGAUGGAUGGAUACUAGAUGAAUGAUGGAUGGAUGGGUGGAUAAAUGGAUGGAUGGAUGGAUGGAUGGUGGAUGGAUGGAUGGUAGAUGGAUGGGUGAACGGAUGGAUGUUGAAUGGACAGAUGACAGAAGUGUGGAUAAGUGGCUGGCUGGCUGGAGGAGAGGCAGUGUCCCCCAUAACCUUUCUAGCUCCCACAGUGAGAUCUAAGUUGAUACCCCACCAAUAGGAUCCUCAUCACAUGGCAUACUCUGGCCAUGAUGAUGGACUGCCUCACUUCCCCCUCACAGAUGGCAAGG
rnacentral:lncRNA from 1 species